AAUUACGGCAAUAAAGAGCGAUCUGGAGCAAUUAGUGGAGCAAUAUGGAGCAAUUUAUUUCAUAUCGCUCAAUGUCAUAUCGCGCAAAUAUUCGAUGGCCACAUCACUCAAAAUUGUAAUGCGCAAUAUUGCUGCUUGUUGCCGCAAAUUGCUUGAUGUAGUCGUGACGUCAAAGUUGACGAGAAUUGACCGGAGUUGAGCAAUUUUAGUUGCCCAAAAUUUUUUCUUCACGCU